rnacentral:rRNA from 1 species
AGUGGCAGACGGCUGAGGAUUACGGAAGGAACCUGCCCUUUGGCGGGGGAUAACUCCGCGAAAGCGGGGCUAAGACCGCGUACGCUCGCGUGGGGAGGGCCAUGCGAGGAAAACCUUCGGGUACCGAAGGAGGGGCUUCCGUCCCAUCAGGUAGUUGGCGGGGUAAGAGCCCACCAAGCCGAUGACGGGUUGCUGGUCUGAGAGGAUGACCAGCCAGACUGGGACUGAGACACGGCCCAG